rnacentral:rRNA from 1 species
UACGGAGGGUGCAAGCGUUAUCCGGAUUUACUGGGUUUAAAGGGUGUGUAGGCGGGCAUUUAAGUCUGGGGUGAAAAUCUCCGAGCUCAACUCGGAAACUGCCUUGGAUACUAUUUGUCUUGAAUUAUGUUGAGGUUGGCGGAAUAUAACAUGUAGCGGUGAAAUGCAUAGAUAUGUUAUAGAACACCGAUUGCGAAGGCAGCUAACUAAGCAUAUAUUGACGCUGAGGCACGAAAGCGUGGGAUCAAACAGG